ACUAAAAUUAAAGUUUGGCCGCUCAAUAAGAUUUCGUCCGUUGCCUUAAAGGGCUUGGGAAGAAGAGAAGCACACAAAAUUUCAGAUUCCGUCGCAGAUUGUUAACUUCUCACGCGCAGAUCCCACAUUAAUUGAAUUGAAAAUUCAUUUGUUUGUGAGUUUUUUAUUAUUAAAGAAUAAAUUAAUCUAUCCGUCGCCCACUGGUUUCUCCGAGUGGUUUCGUAUUAUAUAAAGGUUUCAGUCGCCUUUGUUUAUGUUUCCUCCCUCGCACUCUGACUGUGAUCUUCAGCCUCCGUCCAACGGCGAGUGACAACUCACCCACCAAAUGAUGCAUCGGAGGAAGAUGACCAAAAUCUCGACAAUUAAUUCGUUGAUUGUAGUUUCUCACAGCUACCCAGCCAUAUUGAUUGUCGUUAGAUCUGUCGGUCGGUGAUCGCUGCUCUCCGGACACUUCCUAGCCAGAAGCCAACAUCGGUGUCUGUCCCCGUGUCAUGAACCUGUUCAUUUUCUUAAGCCAAGUGAACGUACUCUACUUAUGCAGAUAGUGAAGCUGCAUAUAAGUGUCUCAAAGAGAGAUAUGGGACCAAGCAGGAGGACAUAAUCCUCUAUGGUCAAUCUGUCGGAAGUAGCCAUACUAUUGAUUUUGCUGCCCGUUUGCCUCGACUAAGAGCAAUUGGGCUGCAUAGUCUGUUAUUAGAAGAUAAUCGAGCUGGUGAGCGAGUCACUGUUGAUUCAAGGAAGAAAAAUCCUGCUGAUUUUGCUUUAUGGAAGUCUGCAAAGGAAGGUGAACCCUUCUGGGACAGUCCAUGGGCACUGGAAGACCUGGUUGGCAUAUCGAGUGCAGUGCCAUGAGUACUACUUAUCUGGGUUACUCUUUUGACAUACAUGGUGGAGGGAUGGACCUUCUGUUUCCCCCACACGAGAAUGAAAUUGCUCAGAGUUGUGCUGCUUGUAAACAAAGUUAUAUAAGCUACUGGAUACACAAUGGUUUUGUCACUAUAGACUCUGAAAAAAACUUGUUGGGAACCAUCAUUCUAAUGGUUCAGUAUCUAGCUUUAGAGUCAAAUUCUUGUCUGAUUUAAUGCUUACGUUAUAAAUAUUUGAUAUUUCAGGUAAAGUGACUCGGUCACCAGCUCGAUUAUCCUCUAUGUAUUCUGUGAAGUGCAGUUGUUGGUUUGAUAUCCACAUGAACAUUGAUAAAUUCCCUCUGGUGAAAUAUCCUGUGCUGGUAAUACAUGGUUAUGUGAACAAUUUGAUGCAAGGGAGAAGUUACAGCAGUCAAUGGAGGAUUGUUCAGCAUCAUUGGGAGUAUUCAAUGUCUAGUAAUUGACUUUGUAAAUUUUCAUUUAAGUAUAGGGUAGGUGUUGAGACUAGUAUUGUAUUUGGUAGCUUGUACGUA